UCAGCGUUUUACGUUCGCAACGUACAGGCCAGGGGUUCGAAUCCCCUCAUCUCCA
rnacentral:tRNA from 1 species